UACGUAGGGGGCAAGCGUUGUCCGGAAUUAUUGGGCGUAAAGCGCUCGUAGGCGGUCUGUCGCGUCUGCUGUGAAAACUCGGGGCUUAACCCCGGGCCUGCAGUGGGUACGGGAAGACUAGAGUGCGGUAGGGGAGACUGGAAUUCCUGGUGUAGUGGUGAAAUGCGUAGAUAUCUGGAAGAACACCAAAGGCGAAGGCAGUGUCCUGGGUGGUCGCUGACGCGGAGAGGCGAAAGCCAGGGGAGCGAACGGG
rnacentral:rRNA from 1 species